AACGCACAUUGCACUCCCUGGUAUUCCGGGGAGUAUGCCUGUUUCAGUAUCAUGAACAUACCUCAGGCCAAAAGAAGGGAGAUGGAAUAUUCUCCUUUGCUCUUGGACCCUGGAUCUAGGCUGAACAAAAACCAUUGGGUUUUCCACCCUUGGUCGCGGCCAGCCUGAAACGUAUCCCAACCGCGUGGGUUUUUUUCAGGGAAAGAAAGGCGUGAUAGUUUGACCCUCCGUGGGGGUCGAUCUUUUCGCCGAAGAAAAACCCUGGCUCGUUUCCCCGCGGCUGAUUAGCAGGACUAUUUUCUUCUCAACUUGAUCUGAAAUCAGGUAGGAGUACCCGCUGAACUUAA
rnacentral:misc_RNA from 1 species